rnacentral:rRNA from 1 species
UACGUAGGGUGCAAGCGUUGUCCGGAAUUAUUGGGCGUAAAGAGCUCGUAGGCGGCUUGUCGCGUCGGCUGUGAAAACCUGGGGCUCAACCCCGAGCCUGCGGUCGAUACGGGCAGACUUGAGUUCGGCAGGGGAGACUGGAAUUCCUGGUGUAGCGGUGGAAUGCGCAGAUAUCAGGAGGAACACCUAUGGCGAAGGCAGCUCUCUGGGACGGUACUGACGCUGAGACGCGAAAGCGUGGGGAGCGAACAGG